CACACUUCUCGAUCAGUUUCUCCGACGACUUUGUUUUAGUUUCUCUCGCGGUUCUCUUGGCGCCUCCGUCGCUGUCGUCACUCGCUCAACUAGCUCUCACUUUCGUGCUCCGGUGACGGUGAGAUGGAAGAAACUGUCUCAAAGAUGUGGCCUGAGUUAAUAGCUAAAGCUUUUAUAGAUAUUAUGACUAAAACUCAUUUGAGUGAGGCACUUGCAACAUGGGCUGAAGCAUGUAAGGCAAAAGCUGAGAGAUAUAAAGGUGAGAUAAGUAAGGAGGCCACUUCGUCGGAUUUUUCCCUUACCAAGUGUGUGAUUGCCCUCAAUGAGAUGAAAGACGUCGAUGAAGAUAGUUAUAUGAAAGCCUUGAAAAUCUUCAAAAAGGACCCUGAAUGGAGAGAAAUUUUUCUUGGCAUGACACAUCACCGGAAAAAGCAAUGGCUAUUUCGUGUUUUUUUGUGGAACGUUAUGAGUCUUUAUUUUGUUACUGAACUUUACAAUUAUGUCAUUACACUUGUGAGUUUGUGUCGGAGAUCGGAUUGAUGAGCCUUCAUUAUGUUAUUGAACUCUAUGGUUAUGUCAUUAAACUUAUCAGUUUGUGGUUAUUCUAUUAUGGAACUUCGUUAACAAAUAAUAUUGUGUUUGGAUUAGUGGAAGUUUGGAUUUU